rnacentral:rRNA from 1 species
CAGUUUCUAUCCUCUUUUUGAAAUGAGCUAAUUUUGUACGAAAGGACUUUUUCGCUAAAGCAAUGCUUUGUCACAAAUCUGUGGUUGCAUAAAUAAUAGAGUAUAAUAGGUUGAUUAGCCUAUAGGAAGGGUUA